CACUGCCUUUAUGAGCUGUAAUACUCACCGCAAAGGUCUGCAGCUUCGCUCCUGAAGCCAGCGAGACCACGAACCCACUGGGAGGAAUGAACAACUCCAGAUGCAUUGCCUUAAGAGCUGUAACACUCACUGUGAAGGUCCGCAGCUUCACUCCUGAGCCAGCGAGACCACGAACCCACCAGAAGGAAGAAAAUCGGAACACAUCCAAACAUCAAAGGAACAAACUCCGGACACGCCACCUUUAAGAACUGUAACACUCAUCGCGAGGGUCCGUGGCUUCA
rnacentral:lncRNA from 1 species